CUGGAUGCAACAGACAAAAGUGUGAAAGGAAGCAUGCAUCUGCUCUCCCCAUUUAAAACAGACUGGUGUGCUGGACAAUGAGAGUUCUCUUUCAGGAGGACAAGAACCCUGGACAGCCAAACGUCUGCUGGGCUAGCUCUAGUCACGCCUGCCUCUUUUUAAAGAGCACGGAACCAGAGAGGGGAUGUGAACUUGCCAGAGGUUGAGAAUCACCUCUGCUACCCUCAAUUGCCCCAUGAGCCUGCCCCCAGUGGCCAGAGGAGUGUGAUUUACAAGGUCGUUCCAUGUUGAAAAUGGAACCUCUGGGGUACCCACACUCGAUGCUUUCACGAAAAGGACCCGCUGUUGCCCUCCCAAGUAGGACCUCAUAUCACCCUCUGGCCCUGCCAUCAAUCGAUUGGCUCAGGAUAACCAGAGGACGUCAUUCAGGCCAUGGUCUUAAUGACGUAAGAGCUGCCUUGUGAAGGAGCCUGGGCCAGCCUGCUGAAGGAUGAGAGACCUCAUGGAGGAAAAUCCUAGUGCCCUGACCAACGAUCAGCCAGACCCCAGAAUCAGAGGCACCCAGCUGCCCUGACACCCACCACAGACACAUAAGAGAGUGUACUCAAGACCAGAAGAAGAAUCCAGUUGACCAGUGGACUGGCCUGGACCAGUGGACACCACAUCAGUGACAUGACAGUGUUCACAAGAGAGGACUUGCAAGCCCCAGUUGGAAAGAAAGUACAUCUCAAAAAAUGCCUGGCAGCCUCUCCCUGGAUGCUGGUGCUUUACUUUUCCAUGCAAACACGCUGGUGUCCAUCAUUGCCCCAUUGUAGCCUUUGAACAUCUCUGCAACUGAAUCUUUGCCCUUGCCUCUUCCAUCUCUCCCUCCUCCCGGGCACUUUCUCAGACAGUCAAAACAACU
rnacentral:lncRNA from 1 species